rnacentral:rRNA from 1 species
GAUGAACGCUGGCGGCGUGCCUAAUACAUGCAAGUCGAGCGAACAGACGAGGAGCUUGCUCCUCUGACGUUAGCGGCGGACGGGUGAGUAACACGUGGAUAACCUACCUAUAAGACUGGGAUAACUUCGGGAAACCGGAACUAAUACCGGAUAAUAUAUUGAACCGCAUGGUUCAAUAGUGAAAGACGGUUUUGCUGUCACUUAUAGAUGGAUCCGCGCCGCAUUAGCUAGUUGGUAAGGUAACGGCUUACCAAGGCGACGAUGCGUAGCCGACCUGAGAGGGUGAUCGGCCACACUGGAACUGAGACACGGUACAGACUCCUACGGGAGGCAGCAGUAGGGAAUCUUCCGCAAUGGGCGAAAGCCUGACGGAGCAACGCCGCGUGAGUGAUGAAGGUCUUCGGAUCGUAAAACUCUGUUAUUAGGGAAGAACAAAUGUGUAAGUAACUAUGCACGUCUUGACGGUACCUAAUCAGAAAGCCACGGCUAACUACGUG